GGAAAGGGAAAAAUCCCUGAAAAACUAGACUGGAGAUGUUGGGGAGGGCGGGAAAGGGAAAAAUCCCUGAAAAACUAGACUGGAGAUGUUGGGGGGGCAGGGAAAAAUCCCUAAAAAACUAGACUGGAGAUGUUGGGGAGGGCGGGAAAGGGAAAAAUCCCUGAAAAACUAGACUGGAGAUGUUGAGGGUGGGGAGGGAAAAAUCCCUAAAAACUAGACUGGAGAUGUUGGGGGGGAAGGGAUAAACCCCUGAAAAACUAGACGGGAUGUGUUUGGAUGAGAGUCUCUCUGGCCAGGAAUGGUCAAUUGGGACCCAGCUAGUUGAAUUGCUGCAUGGAAUUUGCACAGAUGCUGUGUAGCUUCUGACCUUGAACUUCACCAGCAUGGCUGUUAAUGAGUUUCCAGCUGAAGGGGUCGCUCCUGUGAUCUGUGGGACAAUUCUGCACCUGAGCCGCUAUUUCUCUUUCUCCCCGUCAGUCUUGAAGGAUGGAACUUCAUGGAAUCUUCAUCCGCGCUGGGCUGCAUUUCAGUCCCUCUCAGAGAGGAUACUCCAUGAAUUUUGCGGUGCUUCACUGCCGGCAGCGAGUAGAAGCUCCUGCCCUUUCUGGGUUUCAUUUCCCUGCAACGUGUAUUCUGUUACAUUAGUAGCUGUACCAGUCUGAGGGAAAUCCCACCACUGCAAGCCUGGACAUUGUGACCUAUGACCCACAGGGGAAGCUCUGGAUCUAUGAUGUUUUGAUGCAUGAAAUCCAAACCCAAAUAAAACUGAAGUGAAGAACUGUUAUCUGGAGCUCAGCCACCAGCUAGUCUCUUUAUCAGCCCAGGGUUGCUGGAGAGUGAUUUGUCAUGGACCCAACGUCAAGUCCGUAGGGUUGAAAGGAAGUGUAGACUUGACUAUUGUCUAUAUCCCUCAAAGUGAUAGCUAAUCUGUAUUAACCCGAGAAGAGCAAGUGGAAGUGUUGGUCCUUUGUGACACUUGGAAGCUCCUAAUGAGAAUGAUUUGGCAACCUACGUCUUCUUGAGGGUUUUUAUUUCUUCUCCUUACCUGAG
rnacentral:lncRNA from 1 species